rnacentral:rRNA from 1 species
GUGCCAGCAGCCGCGGUAAUACGUAGGUGGCAAGCGUUGUCCGGAUUUACUGGGCGUAAAGAGCGCGCAGGCGGUCAUUCAAGUCGAGUGUGAAAGCCCCCGGCUCAACUGGGGAGGGUCACUCGAUACUGUUUGACUCGAAGGCGGGAGAGGGAAGUGGAAUUCCCGGUGUAGUGGUGAAAUGCGUAGAUAUCGGGAGGAACACCAGUGGCGAAGGCGACUUCCUGGCCCGUUCUUGACGCUGAGGCGCGAAAGCUAGGGGAGCAAACGGGAUUAGAUACCCCCGUAGUCC